rnacentral:lncRNA from 1 species
AUAUAGCUCUGGUUAUGUCAUCUAGUCAGAAAUAUUGUAACAUUGUAUAUAAAAAUCAUCAGCAUUAUAUAUAACUAUAGACAGUGACCUUUCAUAUUUGGAAAAGAUUGUACAUAGCAAAUUUUUUAAAGAAUUGAUUCAUUUCACAAAUGCUAUUGAACAAAUGGUUAGAUAAACUGUUAACAACUUGAUAAGUUAAUGAAUAUGAGAGAUAAAACAAGAAUGUGUCCCAAGUACACAGAUGCCCCACUCGCACUAUCAUUUUCUAUGUUCAGUGGACCGUGAAAUUUGAGUAAAAAACACUAAUUUGACAUUUAAAUUAGAAAGAUCAUAUCAUAGGGAACAUGUGUACUAAGUUUCAAGUGGAUUGGACUUCAACUUCAUCAAAAACCACAAAAAACUGAAAGAACAGACGGACGAACGAUCGGACACACAGACCAUAAAACAUAAUGCCCCUCUACUAUCGUAUGGUGGGGCAUAAAAAUGUGUUGUAACAGUAUCAGACAGAUUUCUAUACAAAUCCUUGGUCAAAAUAUUUGGGCUAAAAAAAAAUGGCUCCAUAAUGUUUCCUUUGCCAAAAUGGGUUUAUUAUCCACAAUUCAUUUGAUAAAUAUAAAAUAUUUAGUAAUGAUUGAUUGACUGAUCAGGAAUGUUUGCCUAUACAUUGUAAUUGAGUUUUUCUUACAGUGCUUAUCCAGUGACCUUUGGGGUAUCACAAUAGCAAUGGACAAAACAGUUUACCAAAUUGCAGUU